CAGUCGCCGCGGUAAAACGUAGGGGGCGAGCGUUGUCCGAAGUUACUGGGCGUAAAGCGCGCGUAGGCGGCUUCUUAAGUCUGAGGUGAAAGGUUCAACGCUUAACGUGAACAGUGCCUUGGAUACUGGGGAGCUUGAGUAUGGGAGAGGGCAGUGGAAUGGCUGGUGUAGCGGUGAAAUGCGUAGAUAUCAGUCGGAACACCCAUGGCGAAGGCAGCUGCCUGGCCUAAUACUGACGCUGAGGUGCGAAAGCGUGGGGAGCGAACGGGAUUAGAUACCCGCGUAGUCCCUGUCUCUUAUA
rnacentral:rRNA from 1 species